rnacentral:lncRNA from 1 species
AUAACAGAGUGUCGUCAAUAGUGUCAGGGACUGGUGCUUGUCCAUGGGAUUGGUCUCAAGUUGGGCCAGUUAUUGGUCGGCCAUUCCCUUUGUCUCUGCUCCAUCUUUGUCCCUGCAUUUCUUGACAGGACAAACUUCGGGUCAAAGUUUUGUGGAUGGGUUGGUGCCCAUCUACUGGGUCCUGCCAGGCUGGUACCAUAAAGGAGCAGACUCAAAUAAAGAAAAUCCACGCUCCGGUAUUCCAGCUGGCACCUGAGGCCGGCCGGCUGGAUGCAGCCCUGAGCAUCUGUGUCCCGUUGCCUUAUAGCCUCCUCCCAGCACAGGUGGUGGACUUCUGUCCAGUUCAAGUCUGAACACUAUGCUCUAGACUCUGGACCACCCCAGAGAGAUCAACCCUGUCACCCAGGUCAAUAGCUUCUUUUGGGAGGCUGGUGUCCUCUUCCUCAAUUCUCACACCAAGGCUUCAGGUAUAUAAAGCUGGCAUGAAUU